rnacentral:rRNA from 1 species
UACGGAGGGUGCAAGCGUUAUCCGGAUUCACUGGGUUUAAAGGGUGCGUAGGUGGGUUGGUAAGUCAGUGGUGAAAUCCCCGAGCUUAACUUGGGAACUGCCAUUGAUACUAUCAGUCUUGAAUACCGUGGAGGUUAGCGGAAUAUGUCAUGUAGCGGUGAAAUGCUUAGAUAUGACAUAGAACACCAAUUGCGAAGGCAGCUAGGCUACACGAAUAUUGACACUGAGGCACGAAAGCGUGGGGAUCAAACAGG